rnacentral:rRNA from 1 species
CCCCUAGAUGUUCUGGGCCGCACGCGCGCUACACUGAACAGAUCAGCGUGUAUUCCCUUCCUGAGAAGGACGGGUAAACCGCUGAGCCCUGUUCAUGGUAGGGAUCGGGGCUUGCAAUUAUUCCCCGUGAACCAGGAAUUCCCAGUAGGCGCAAGUCAUAAGCUUGCGUCGAUUACGUCCCUGCCCUUUGUACACACCGCCCGUCGCUACUACCGAUUGAACGUUUUAGUGAGGUCCUCGGACUGUUUGCCUGGCGGUUUACCCUGCUUGGCUGGCGGGAAGACGACCAAACUUGAGCGUUUAGAGGAAGUAAAAGUCGUAACA